ensembl:snoRNA
ACUCUCCCCACUCUGCAUGGUCACACUAAGUUUUGCCCAUGUGACUUUCGUACAGGGGAGAGAGAGAGGAAAGAGCCCCUCUGGACCUUGGAUUGGCCUCACAGUAGCCUUUUCUUCCUUGAGGGGCACAACAGGA